rnacentral:rRNA from 1 species
UACGGAGAGUGCAAGCGUUGCUCGGAAUCACUGGGCGUAAAGCGCGCGUAGGUGGUAUUCUAAGUCGGGUGUGAAAUCGUGCGGCUCAACCGUAUCAAGUGCACUCGAUACUAGAAAACUAGAGUAUGGCAGAGGAAUGUGGAAUUCCCGGUGUAGAGGUGAAAUUCGUAGAUACCGGGAGGAACACCAGUGGCGAAGGCGACAUUCUGGGCCAAUACUGACGCUGAGGUGCGAAAGCGUGGGGAGCAAA